CAACGGAUAUCUCGGCUCUCGCAUCGAUGAAGAACGUAGCGAAAUGCGAUACUUGGUGUGAAUUGCAGAAUCCCGUGAACCAUCGAGUCUUUGAACGCAAGUUGCGCCCGACGCCUUCUGGCCGAGGGCACGUCUGCCUGGGUGUCACGC
rnacentral:rRNA from 1 species